rnacentral:miRNA from 1 species
UGGGUUGGUCAAAAACUUCAUUUGGGUUUUUCUGUACGAUGGUAUGGAAAAACCUGAAUGAACUUUUUCGCCAACCCA